CAGAGGUUUUCCUCACAGAACCGCUGCAGCACCAGCACAGCCAUGUAGCGUUCCCUGUUCCUGUCCCCCUGCCCUCCUCGUUGGUGAUUCCUCUCCGUUUUUCCUAAUCACCUGCCUUGGCCACGGCUGCCCACGACAGAGGUGGGAAACAUUUGUGCUCCCCUUGAGCACCGGCGUCUUCCGAGCUAGGAGCUGCCAAUGAGACAAGAUCCUGGAGGGCUGCACAAGCACGGGUAGCAAGCAGAAAUUCCAGGCUAUGAAAAUUCAGCCUAAGAAAAAUUCAGCGUAGGAACAGGCAUAUCCCAGACGCUCUUCCCUUGAAGUCAGGGCUUCUCUUGCUUGCCCUUCUUUUGCAUAAAACAAACUUCAUCUGUGGCCUGGAGGGAACGGGAAAGGGCUGGUGACUUCACAAACCUCCAAACCUCCGAGCGGUGCUCAGCUCAGGAGCACCACUGCUACCCAAAAGGGCAGCGAGGCAGGGAGCAGGCAUCUCCUCUGCAACCAGCACAGCCACUCGCCAACCACACGUCGACUCCGAGCCGUGUGGCCCCCUCAUUAGCAGGCUAACAUCAAGGACUUCCAUGCAGCAAAAUUAACUAUUUUUCGUAGGAUGUUCAACAAAAGAAGAGAUACUAAUGAGGAACAAGAGUUAAAUAUAGGCAUGCACAUGUUUCUUUGGAAUCCUCUCCAUGGCACGACGGGGAAGUUUUUUUCCCCUACGCAGACCUUCGGGGACAGAAUUUACUAGUUCAUCAAGACACACAUUAGUCUUCAUGAGUAGAGGUUCAAGAAGCUGUGUCGAAUCCUCCAAGUUUUUCUUACACCUACAACCACAUUUCGUCGAUAAAUUCAUUAUCUAGACAGUACACAGAACUAAAAUUGGACCGGCAGCUGACAGCCUGGGGACUGAGCUGGGACUGCCGGAGCUGGCAGCAUUUGCUAACGGACUUAAAGACAGACACCCUCAUCUGAACCGGGAGAGCCUGGCACGUUUUGUGGGGUCAGGCAAAAGAGGACCAACCCCAAAUGCUUCCCAAAGGGUUUCCUUUGAAACGGCAAGAUGCCUUGGGUUCAGGUGUCUGAAAGCUUGCACAGCUCAGGCUGUGUUGUUUGCUUUUUCACAGUCAAUAGGCAAUCGUACAUGACAACAAAAUAUUGGAUCUCGCCUGCAGCGCUGCGUAGCCUUUUUCUUUAAUGUGCUGGCACCGAGAAAGAAACUUCCCCAAGUUGUGCGAAUCGCUGCUGGUCAAACGAGAACCUCGCUGUAGCAUGAAAUGCGAAGUGGCACCUCGGGUACAGCUAAUGGAGCCAUCGCGGUCCUCAAAGUUACUUAGGGCACCUUAAAGGGAUGCGUUCCUUCGCGUUCAGCCUCCCGGGGACGUGUUUCGUUGCUUGUCCCUUUGGGCUCGUUGUUAAUCGUCGGGCACUGGGGCUGCAGGCACGUACGAGCACUCUCGGAGGAAGCCUGGACAAUGCAUCAUGUCAGGUGGGGCUAAUGCUGAGCU
rnacentral:lncRNA from 1 species